AACGAACGCUGGCGGCAUGCCUAACACAUGCAAGUCGAACGAGACCUUCGGGUCUAGUGGCGCACGGGUGCGUAACGCGUGGGAACCUGCCCUUAGGUUCGGAAUAACUCAGAGAAAUUUGAGCUAAUACCGGAUAAUGUCUUCGGACCAAAGAUUUAUCGCCUUUGGAUGGGCCCGCGUAGGAUUAGCUUGUUGGUGGGGUAAUGGCCUACCAAGGCGACGAUCCUUAGCUGGUCUGGGAGGAUGAUCAGCCACACUGGGACUGAGACACGGCCCAGACUCCUACGGGACGCAGCAGUGGGGAAUAUUGGACACUGGGCGAAAGCCUGAUCCAGCAAUGCCGCGUGAGUGAUGAAGGCCUUAGUGUUGUAAAGCUCUUUUACCAGGGAUGAUAAUGACAGUACCUGGAGAAUAAGCUCCGGCUAACUCCGUG
rnacentral:rRNA from 1 species